rnacentral:rRNA from 1 species
UGGGGAAUAUUGCACAAUGGAGGGAACUCUGAUGCAGCGACGCCGCGCGAGUGAUGAAGGAUCUCGUUUCGUAAAACUCUGUUCUAUGGGAAGAAAAGGACUGUACCAUAGGAGAAAGCUCCGGCUAAAUACGUGCCAGCAGCCGCGGUAAUACGUAUGGAGCGAGCGUUGUCCGGAAUUAUUGGGCGUAAAGGGUGCGCAGGCGGCUUUACAAGUUGGAUGAGAAAUAUUGUGGCUCAACCACAAACGUGCAUCCAAAACUGCAAAGCUUGAGUUAAGGAGAGGGAAGUGGAAUACCUGGUGUAGCGGUGGAAUGCGUAGAUAUCAGGAGGAAUACCGGUGGCGAAGGCGACUUACUGGACUAAAACUGACGCUCAGGCACGAAAGCGUGGGGAGCAAACAGG